CGUCAGGAUGAGAAUUCUAGGCGCUUGAGAGAACUCAGGAGAAGGAACUCGGCAAAUUUGCACCGUAACUUCGGGAUAAGGUGCGCCCUGAUAGGUUGAAGCCCCUCGCGGGUUUAGGCUGAAAGGGUUGCAGUGAAAUGGUGGCUGCGACUGUUUAAUAAAAACACAGCACUCUGCAAACACGAAAGUGGACGUAUAGGGUGUGACGCCUGCCCGGUGCCGGAAGGUUAAGUGAUGGGGUGCAAGCUCUUGAUCGAAGCCCCGGUAAACGGCGGCCGUAACAAUAACGGUCCUAAGGUAGCGAAAUUCCUUGUCGGGUAAGUUCCGACCUGCACGAAUGGCGUAACGAUGGCCACACUGUCUCCUCCUGAGACUCAGCGAAGUUGAAAUGAUUGUGAAGAUGCAAUCUCCCCGCGGUUAGACGGAAAGACCCCAUGAACCUUUACUGUAGCUUUGCAUUGGACUUUGAACCAACCUGUGUAGGAUAGGUGGGAGGCUGUGAAACUGGGACGCUAGUUCUGGUGGAGCCAACCUUGAAAUACCACCCUGGUUUGUUUGAGGUUCUAACCAUGGCCCGUGAAUCCGGGUCUGGGACCGUGCAUGGUAGGCAGUUUGACUGGGGCGGUCUCCUCCUAAAGUGUAACGGAGGAGUACGAAGGUACGCUAGGUACGGUCGGACAUCGUGCUGAUAGUGCAAUGGCAAAAGCGUGCUUGACUGCGAGACUCACACGUCGAGCAGGUACGAAAGUAGGUCAUAGUGAUCCGGUGGUUCUGUAUGGAAGGGCCAUCGCUCAACGGAUAAAAGGUACUCUGGGGAUAACAGGCUAAUACCGCCCAAGAGUUCAUAUCGACGGCGGUGUUUGGCACCUCGAUGUCGGCUCAUCACAUCCUGGGGCUGUAGUCGGUCCCAAGGGUAUGGCUGUUCGCCAUUUAAAGUGGUACGUGAGCUGGGUUUAAAACGUCGUGAGACAGUUUGGUCCCUAUCUGCCGUGGGCGCUGGAAAUUUGAAGGGGGCUGCUCCUAGUACGAGAGGACCGGAGUGGACGAACCUCUGGUGUACCGGUUAUGACGCCAGUCGUAUUGCCGGGUAGCUAAGUUCGGAAGAGAUAAACGCUGAAAGCAUCUAAGCGUGAAACUCGCCUUGAGAUAAGAUUUCCCUGGGGACUUGAUCCCCCUGAAGGGUCGUGGUAGACCACCACGUUGAUAGGCUGGGUGUGGAAGCGCAGCAAUGCGUUAAGCUAACCAGUACUAAUUGCCCGUGAGGCUUGAUCC
rnacentral:rRNA from 1 species